rnacentral:rRNA from 1 species
CAGAGCAAUCUGUGUGACUGCGUACCUUUUGUAUAAUGGGUCAGCGACUUAUAUUCUGUAGCAAGGUUAACCGAAUAGGGGAGCCGAAGGGAAACCGAGUCUUAACUGGGCGUUAAGUUGCAGGGUAUAGACCCGAAACCCGGUGAUCUAGCCAUGGGCAGGUUGAAGGUUGGGUAACACUAACUGGAGGACCGAACCGACUAAUGUUGAAAAAUUAGCGGAUGACUUGUGGCUGGGGGUGAAAGGCCAAUCAAACCGGGAGAUAGCUGGUUCUCCCCGAAAGCUAUUUAGGUAGCGCCUCGUGAAUUCAUCUCCGGGGGUAGAGCACUGUUUCGGCAAGGGGGUCAUCCCGACUUACCAACCCGAUGCAAACUGCGAAUACCGGAGAAUGUUAUCACGGGAGACACACGGCGGGUGCUAACGUCCGUCGUGAAGAGGGAAACAACCCAGACCGCCAGCUAAGGUCCCAAAGUCAUGGUUAAGUGGGAAACGAUGUGGGAAGGCCCAGACAGCCAGGAUGUUGGCUUAGAAGCAGCCAUCAUUUAAAGAAAGCGUAAUAGCUCACUGGUCGAGUCGGCCUGCGCGGAAGAUGUAACGGGGCUAAACCAUGCACCGAAGCUGCGGCAGCGACACUGUGUGUUGUUGGGUAGGGGAGCGUUCUGUAAGCCUGUGAAGGUGUACUGUGAGGUAUGCUGGAGGUAUCAGAAGUGCGAAUGCUGACAUAAGUAACGAUAAAGCGGGUGAAAAGCCCGCUCGCCGGAAGACCAAGGGUUCCUGUCCAACGUUAAUCGGGGCAGGGUGAGUCGACCCCUAAGGCGAGGCCGAAAGGCGUAGUCGAUGGGAAACAGGUUAAUAUUCCUGUACUUGGUGUUACUGCGAAGGGGGGACGGAGAAGGCUAUGUUGGCCGGGCGACGGUUGUCCCGGUUUAAGCGUGUAGGCUGGUUUUCCAGGCAAAUCCGGAAAAUCAAGGCUGAGGCGUGAUGACGAGGCACUACGGUGCUGAAGCAACAAAUGCCCUGCUUCCAGGAAAAGCCUCUAAGCAUCAGGUAACAUCAAAUCGUACCCCAAACCGACACAGGUGGUCAGGUAGAGAAUACCAAGGCGCUUGAGAGAACUCGGGUGAAGGAACUAGGCAAAAUGGUGCCGUAACUUCGGGAGAAGGCACGCUGAUAUGUAGGUGAAGUCCCUCGCGGAUGGAGCUGAAAUCAGUCGAAGAUACCAGCUGGCUGCAACUGUUUAUUAAAAACACAGCACUGUGCAAACACGAAAGUGGACGUAUACGGUGUGACGCCUGCCCGGUGCCGGAAGGUUAAUUGAUGGGGUCAGCGCAAGCGAAGCUCUUGAUCGAAGCCCCGGUAAACGGCGGCCGUAACUAUAACGGUCCUAAGGUAGCGAAAUUCCUUGUCGGGUAAGUUCCGACCUGCACGAAUGGCGUAAUGAUGGCCAGGCUGUCUCCACCCGAGACUCAGUGAAAUUGAACUCGCUGUGAAGAUGCAGUGUACCCGCGGCAAGACGGAAAGACCCCGUGAACCUUUACUAUAGCUUGACACUGAACAUUGAGCCUUGAUGUGUAGGAUAGGUGGGAGGCUUUGAAGUGUGGACGCCAGUCUGCAUGGAGCCGACCUUGAAAUACCACCCUUUAAUGUUUGAUGUUCUAACGUGGACCCGUGAUCCGGGUUGCGGACAGUGUCUGGUGGGUAGUUUGACUGGGGCGGUCUCCUCCUAAAGAGUAACGGAGGAGCACGAAGGUUGGCUAAUCCUGGUCGGACAUCAGGAGGUUAGUGCAAUGGCAUAAGCCAGCUUGACUGCGAGCGUGACGGCGCGAGCAGGUGCGAAAGCAGGUCAUAGUGAUCCGGUGGUUCUGAAUGGAAGGGCCAUCGCUCAACGGAUAAAAGGUACUCCGGGGAUAACAGGCUGAUACCGCCCAAGAGUUCAUAUCGACGGCGGUGUUUGGCACCUCGAUGUCGGCUCAUCACAUCCUGGGGCUGAAGUAGGUCCCAAGGGUAUGGCUGUUCGCCAUUUAAAGUGGUACGCGAGCUGGGUUUAGAACGUCGUGAGACAGUUCGGUCCCUAUCUGCCGUGGGCGCUGGAGAACUGAGGGGGGCUGCUCCUAGUACGAGAGGACCGGAGUGGACGCAUCACUGGUGUUCGGGUUGUCAUGCCAAUGGCACUGCCCGGUAGCUAAAUGCGGAAGAGAUAAGUGCUGAAAGCAUCUAAGCACGAAACUUGCCCCGAGAUGAGUUCUCCCUGACCCUUUAAGGGUCCUGAAGGAACGUUGAAGACGACGACGUUGAUAGGCCGGGUGUGUAAGCGCAGCGAUGCGUUGAGCUAACCGGUACUAAUGAACCGUGAGGCUUAACCUUACAACGCCGAAGGUGUUU